rnacentral:rRNA from 1 species
GGUUAAGUGACUAAGCGUACACGGUGGAUGCCUGGGCAGUCAGAGGCGAUGAAGGACGUAGUAACUUGCGAUAAGCCCAGAUAAGGCAGUAACAGCCACUUGAGUCUGGGAUUUCCGAAUGGGGAAACCCACUUACAUAAGUAAGUAUCAUUAACUGAAUCCAUAGGUUAAUGAGGCGAACUCGGGGAACUGAAACAUCUAAGUACCCGAAGGAAAAGAAAUCAAUUGAGAUUCCGGCAGUAGCGGCGAGCGACCCCGGACCAGCCCUUAAGCUUGUUGUGCGUUAGUGGAAGCCACUGGAAAGUGGCGCGAUACAGGGUGAUAGCCCCGUACACGACAACGCACAGUGAGUGAAAACGAGUAAGACGGGACACGUGUUAUCUUGUCUGAAGAUGGGGGGACCAUCCUCCAAGGCUAAAUACUCCUGACUGACCGAUAGUGAACCAGUACCGUGAGGGAAAGGCGAAAAGAACCCCUGUGAGGGGAGUGAAAUAGAACCUAAAACCGUGUACGUACAAGCAGUGGGAGCCCUAUCACCAAAGUGCUUAUCCGAGCAUGAAGGUGACAGCGUGAAGUGAAUUCACACUGUUGUCGUUGCGUUGUUUGCAACGACAAACCUCAAAAAUCAAGCAGUAGGCUUGAGUGCUUUGGGAUAGGGUGACUGCGUACCUUUUGUAUAAUGGGUCAGCGACUUACGUUAUGUAGCAAGGUUAACCGCAUAGGGGAGCCGUAGGGAAACCGAGUCUUAACUGGGCGUUCAGUUGCAUGACGUAGACCCGAAACCGGGUGAUCUAGCCAUGGGCAGGUUGAAGAUUGAGUAACAUCAAUUGGAGGACCGAACCGACUAAUGUUGAAAAAUUAGCGGAUGACUUGUGGCUAGGGGUGAAAGGCCAAUCAAACCCGGAGAUAGCUGGUUCUCCCCGAAAGCUAUUUAGGUAGCGCCUCGGACGAAUACUACUGGGGGUAGAGCACUGUUAAGGCUAGGGGGUCAUCCCGACUUACCAACCCUUUGCAAACUCCGAAUACCAGUAAGUAGUAUCCGGGAGACACACGGCGGGUGCUAACGUCCGUCGUGGAGAGGGAAACAACCCAGACCGCCAGCUAAGGUCCCCAAGUUAUCGCUAAGUGGGAAACGAUGUGGGAAGGCUCAGACAGCCAGGAUGUUGGCUUAGAAGCAGCCAUCAUUUAAAGAAAGCGUAAUAGCUCACUGGUCGAGUCGGCCUGCGCGGAAGAUGUAACGGGGCUAAGCGAUACACCGAAGCUGCGGCAGUGUGUUUAGGCACAUUGGGUAGGGGAGCGUUCUGUAAGCCGUAGAAGGUGUGCUGUAAGGCAUGCUGGAGGUAUCAGAAGUGCGAAUGCUGACAUGAGUAACGAUAAAGGGGGUGAAAAACCUCCUCGCCGGAAGACCAAGGGUUCCUGUCCAACGUUAAUCGGGGCAGGGUAAGUCGGCCCCUAAGGCGAGGCCGAAAGGCGUAGUCGAUGGGAAACGGGUUAAUAUUCCCGUACUGCUGAUAACUGCGAUGGGGGGACGGAGAAGGCUAGGUGGGCCACGGCGACGGUUGUCCUGGUUCAAGUGCGUAGGUAGGUGAGUUAGGCAAAUCCGGCUCGC